rnacentral:rRNA from 1 species
GACGAACGCUGGCGGCGUGCUUAACACAUGCCAGUCGAACGGAAAGGCCCUGCUUUUGUGGGGUGCUCGAGUGGCGAACGGGUGAGUAACACGUGAGUAACCUGCCCUUGACUUUGGGAUAACUUCAGGAAACUGGGGCUAAUACCGGAUAGGAGCUCCUGCUGCAUGGUGGGGGUUGGAAAGUUUCGGCGGUUGGGGAUGGACUCGCGGCUUAUCAGCUUGUUGGUGGGGUAGUGGCUUACCAAGGCUUUGACGGGUAGCCGGCCUGAGAGGGUGACCGGCCAAAAUGGGAAUGGGAUACGGGCCAGACUCCUACGGGAGGCAGCAGUGGGGAAUAUUGCACAAUGGGCGGAAGCCUGAUGCAGCAACGCCGCGUGCGGGAUGACGGCCUUCGGGUUGUAAACCGCUUUCGCCUGUGACGAAGCGUGAGUGACGGUAAUGGGUAAAGAAGCACCGGCUAACUACGUG